UACGUAGGGUGCGAGCGUUAAUCGGAAUUACUGGGCGUAAAGGGUGCGUAGGUGGUCAGGUAAGUCGGAUGUGAAAGCUCGGAGCUCAACUCCGAAAUGGCAUUGGAAACUACCUGGCUAGAGGAUUGGAGGGGGGACUGGAAUACUUGGUGUAGCAGUGAAAUGCGUAGAUAUCAAGUGGAACACCAGUGGCGAAGGCGAGUCCCUGGACAAUUCCUGACACUGAGGCACGAAAGCUAGGGGAGCAAACAGG
rnacentral:rRNA from 1 species